AUUGCACUGUCUCAAAGAGAGGGAGGCAUUUCACUGUCUCACAGAGAGGGAGGCAUUUCACUGUCUCACAGAGAGGGAGGCAUUUCACUGUCUCAAAGAGAGGGAGGCAUUUCACUGUCUCACAGAGAGGGAGGCAUUUCACUGUCUCAAAGAGAGGGAGGCAUUUCACUGUCUCACAGAGAGGGAGGCAUUUCACUGUCUCACAGAGAGGGAGGCAUUUCACUGUCUCACAGAGAGGGAGGCAUUUCACUGUCUCACAGAGAGGGAGGCAUUUCACUGUCUCACAGAGAGGGAGGCAUUUCACUGUCUCAAAGAGAGGGAGGCAUUUCACUGUCUCAAAGAGAGGGAGGCAUUUCACUGUCUCAAAGAGAGGGAGGCAUUUCACUGUCUCACAGAGAGGGAGGCAUUUCACUGUCUCAAAGAGAGGGAGGCAUUUCACUGUCUCACAGAGAGGGAGGCAUUUCACUGUCUCACAGAGAGGGAGGCAUUUCACUGUCUCACAGAGAGGGAGGCAUUUCACUGUCUCACAGAGAGGGAGGCAUUUCACUGUCUCACAGAGAGGGAGGCAUUUCACUGUCUCAAAGAGAGGGAGGCAUUUCACUGUCUCAAAGAGAGGGAGGCAUUUCACUGUCUCAAAGAGAGGGAGGCAUUUCACUGUCUCACAGAGAGGGAGGCAUUUCACUGUCUCACAGAGAGGGAGGCAUUUCACUGUCUCACAGAGAGGGAGGCAUUUCACUGUCUCACAGAGAGGGAGGCAUUUCACUGUCUCACAGAGAGGGAGGCAUUUCACUGUCUCACAGAGAGGGAGGCAUUUCACUGUCUCAAAGAGAGGGAGGCAUUUCACUGUCUCACAGAGAGGGAGGCAUUUCACUGUCUCACAGAGAGGGAGGCAUUUCACUGUCUCACAGAGAGGGAGGCAUUUCACUGUCUCACAGAGAGGGAGGCAUUUCACUGUCUCACAGAGAGGGAGGCAUUUCACUGUCUCAAAGAGAGGGAGGCAUUUCACUGUCUCAAAGAGAGGGAGGCAUUUCACUGUCUCAAAGAGAGGGAGGCAUUUCACUGUCUCAAAGAGAGGGAGGCAUUUCACUGUCUCAAAGAGAGGGAGGCAUUUCACUGUCUCAAAGAGAGGGAGGCAUUUCACUGUCUCAAAGAGAGGGAGGCAUUUCACUGUCUCAAAGAGAGGGAGGCAUUUCACUGUCUCAAAGAGAGGGAGGCAUUUCACUGUCUCAAAGAGAGGGAGGCAUUUCACUGUCUCAAAGAGAGGGAGGCAUUUCACUGUCUCAAAGAAAGGGAAGCAUUUCAAAAUAUCAGAAUGAAUUACUGCUGACUGCAUUGAUUCAAUUAAUUAGGCUGGCGGCUGUUGGGGAGAAGGCUGUUUAUGCUGCCAGACAGUGGUUUCUACCAGCCCAGUCGUGUCCAGUCCAGCAGUGGCUUGAGGGACCAGACCAAGCGGACUGA
rnacentral:lncRNA from 1 species